UACGGAGGAUUCAAGCGUUAUCCGGAUUUAUUGGGUGUAAAGGGAGCGUAGACGGCGAGACAAGUCUGAAGUGAAAGCCCGCGGCUUAACUGCGGGACUGCUUUGGAAACUGCCUGGCUAGAGUGCAGGAGAGGUAAGCGGAAUUCCUAGUGUAGCGGUGAAAUGCGUAGAUAUUAGGAGGAACACCAGUGGCGAAGGCGGCUUACUGGACUGUAACUGACGUUGAGGCUCGAAAGCGUGGGGAGCAAACAGG
rnacentral:rRNA from 1 species